rnacentral:sRNA from 1 species
UCAGCGCAAGGCACGGAGCCCCCGGAGCCCCCAAACCGCAGCCACAUCCCCGCGCCCCAGAUCCCCGGCCUGCGCGCCCAGCCGGGCCCGCGCGAUGCCCUCAGACCGGCCUUUCAAGCAGCGGCGGAGCUUCGGUGAUCAUCGAGCGCUACAAGGGUGAGAAGCAGCUGCCCGUCCUGGACAAGACCAAGUUUUUGGUCCCGGACCAUGUCAACAUGAGCGAGUUGGUCAAGAUCAUCCGGCGCCGCCUGCAGCUGAACCCCACGCAGGCCUUCUUCCUGCUGGUGAACCAGCACAGCAUGGUGAGUGUGUCCACGCCCAUCGCGGACAUCUACGAGCAGGAGAAAGACGAGGAUGGCUUCCUCUACAUGGUCUACGCCUCCCAGGAAACCUUCGGCUUCUGAGCCAGCAGUAGGGGGGUCGGCCUGGGAGUCGGGGGGCCCCGGUCAGGCCCUGCCCAGAGAGCUCCUGCUUCCUGAACUGAGCUGCCUCUGCCGUGGUGGGCUGGGCAGGCAUGUGCCCCCCUAGUCAGAGGGCACCAACCCACCUACUCUGCCCCUGGGUGGAUCCUGGGCCGGUCAUGUUAGGGUUGUCCCUCUGGGUGCUGGCUGGGAUGGGGGAGGGUGGGGAGCAGCUCCCAGCACCCCUGCUGUGUGGUUCAUCUUUUUUUUAGGCCCCUGCCUGUCUGCCCAUCUGUCCCUCACCCACCCGAGGCUCUGCCCACCGCCUGGACCUGCCCACCCCUGAAAGACUGGCCCCUGGCUCCCCGCCCCUCGGUCUCCACGUGGUGUAUGGAUCUGUGGUCAUUGUCCCUCUGCAGAAUAAAGAUUGCUCAGGCCUGCCUGGC